GAACCAGACUCCUACGGGAGGCAGCAGUGAGGAAUAUUGGUCAAUGGUCGGGAGACUGAACCAGCCAAGUCGCGUGAGGGAAGACUGCCCUAUGGGUUGUAAACCUCUUUUGUCAGGGAGCAACGCCGGCUACGUGUAGCCGGACUGAGAGUACCUGAAGAAAAAGCAUCGGCUAACUCCGUGCCAGCAGCCGCGGUAAUACGGAGGAUGCGAGCGUUAUCCGGAUUUAUUGGGUUUAAAGGGUGCGUAGGGGGAAGGCCAAGUCAGGGGUAAAAUCGCGGGGCUCAACCUCGCUCCGCCGUUGAAACUGGCGUUCUUGAGUGGGCGAGAAGGAUGCGGAAUGCGUGGUGUAGCGGUGAAAUGCAUAGAUAUCACGCAGAACUCCGAUUGCGGAGGCAGCAUACCGGCGCCCAACUGACGCUGAAGCACGAAAGCGUGGGGAUCGAACAGGAUUAGAUACCCGAGUAUCA
rnacentral:rRNA from 1 species